CAAAAAAUAUGUAUGAAACUGGUGUCUAUAUCCCAAAUAUAGACACCAGUUUCAUACAUAUUUUUUGGU